UUGGUGUUUAUUGCAUUUGAAAUUUUGAUUUUCAAGGGAAAGAUAAAUUUCUUUA
rnacentral:tRNA from 1 species